UUCGUCACGUGACCGGCAGUAUGUGUAGUAAGUUCAGCGCUAUUAGGAAGUGUUUAUUUACGAUGCAGGGAUACACAGCGCUGAAGUAUUGAAAUACGACAAUCGGCCCAUUAUUGUGGGAGGAUUAGCUGUAUUUUCUUUAAAACGUGUGUUACGUUUGAGUCCGAUUUACCGCCAGCUGUCUGUUUUUGGCUGUGAGCACUCAACCUUCGCAUGCUAGUUUAGGCUAAGUGGCUAGCUAAGUUGGACUACAACCUUGCACUGUCCGUCACCACAAUCACUCUGAGUUUUCUGCUGUCUGCUGGUGGUGGACGCUUUCCAACAAGUCUGUUGUCAUUUUCUCUUUGUCCUAGUUUAGCUAAUGUCUGUUAGUUCUUGUGGAUCCAUCGGCUGACAGUCCACGGUGUGCGGUUUAUGUACGUACGCUGACUGUCUCUGCUGUGGAUUAGUGGUUUUUGACAAGACAUGACCGCCUACUGACAGUGGCAUUAAGCUGGCAUCGACAUGGAAGCUGGAUCGAUAACUCGAUGAGGAGGUUCAACUGUCGUCUUUGGCUACAUUGAACUCCUCACCUGUGAAGGCUACUGCUGAGAGGGUCGUGAUUUUACUGUCACAGUUUCCUCCCACACCUCAGAGUAGCUCUCAUCGUCCCUGAGCCACCAGGAUGUUGGAGGGCCUUGUUGCCUGGGUGCUAAACACAUACCUGGGAAAAUAUGUCAGCAACCUGAACACAGAUCAGCUCUCCAUCGCCCUUCUUAAAGGUGCAGUGGAGUUGGAGAACCUCCCUCUGAGGAAAGAUGCCCUCCGAGACUUCAGCCUGCCAUUUGAAGUCAAAGCAGGUGAGACACACUGACUGAUGAGCUCACACAGCUAUCAUUACAACAGUGG